UUGAACGCUGGCGGAAUGCUUUACACAUGCAAGUCGAGCGGCAGCGCGGGGCAACCUGGCGGCGAGCGGCGAACGGGUGAGUAAUAUAUCGGAACGUACCCUGUCGUGGGGGACAACACAUCGAAAGAUGUGCUAAUACCGCAUACGACCUGAGGGUGAAAGCGGGGGAUUCGCAAGAACCUCGCGUUAUUGGAGUGGCCUAGGCCUGAUUAGCUAGUUGGUGAGGUAAAGGCUCACCAAGGCGACGAUCAGUAGCUGGUCUGAGAGGAUGAUCAGCCACACUGGAACUGAGACACGGUCCAGACUCCUACGGGAGGCAGCAGUGGGGAAUUUUGGACAAUGGGGGAAACCCUGAUCCAGCCAGUCCGCGGGAGUGAAGAAGGCCUUCGGGUUGUAAAGCUCUUUCAGGAGGGAAGAAACGGUUGCGGCUAAUACCCGCGACUAAUGACGGUACCUUCAGAAGAAGCACCGGCUAACUACG
rnacentral:rRNA from 1 species